UUAUUCCCAGGAAAAAAUUAGGGGGGAAAAAUCUUCCCAGGCAUAGUGCAAAAAAAUUCCUUUCUUGGAAGAUAGGCCUAUAAAUUUUAAUAAAAAAAAUAUAUUUCCAGCCAUCAAGUGAGAAAAAAAAAUUUCUAUAGGUGUACAAAAAAAAAAUAUUGCCUCUUAGAAAAUCCCCCCCCCCCACCACUUUUCUAAUGGUCCGUCCCUUAGUUAAUUAAAUUUGCUGUAUACAUUAUGUCGCAACGUGUCACUAUUUAAUAAACUUACGUACAAUUACAAAUCAAGCCCACAAAUCGUUGAAUAUAC
rnacentral:lncRNA from 1 species